rnacentral:lncRNA from 1 species
UGUCACGCCCCUCAAAAUAUCGACAAUAUUUAAAAUUUUCAUCAUAACUAACCCAGGAUCCAAACACACAUUUGAGGUCACUAAGAAAACAUUCAGAUCAAAAUUUCACCACUAUAGUCUACAAAUUCAUAACCCUGUGUAGUUCAUAAACAUACCACACAUCACUCGAUAAUUCAUACAAUCUGAACCCAACUCAUCAAAAUAAUAACCACAACAUAAUUUCACAAGUGGGGAAGUCUAUGCAGUCACCAAACCAAUGAUUUCCAUAAGAUCAUAACAUUACAUUAAUUUAACUUAACAUUCCAAAAUCAUAUACAUGAGGGAUCCUUUAUCUUACACAAAAUCCACAGGUUUAGAUUCAUCGUCACAUUUCAUAAGAUGCAGAGUAUCUUAUACAACAAAUACACAUAUGCUAACAAAGAUCUGCCCAAAAUCUUCUAAACUUUCCACUACCUCAGCCCAAUCUUAACAUUUAAGCAAGCGACACGCUAUCCUGAAAAUUUUAUCAACAAACGGGGUGAGCAUAUAGAGCUCAGCAAGUGACUAACAUAUCCAUAUCAAAA